rnacentral:rRNA from 1 species
GGUCUAGUGGCGCACGGGUGCGUAACGCGUGGGAAUCUGCCCUUGGGUUCGGAAUAACUCGCCGAAAGGCGUGCUAAUACCGGAUGAUGUCGAAAGACCAAAGAUCUAUCGCCCAGGGAUGAGCCCGCGUAAGAUUAGCUAGUUGGUGAGGUAAAGGCUCACCAAGGCGACGAUCUUUAGCUGGUCUGAGAGGAUGAUCAGCCACACUGGGACUGAGACACGGCCCAGGCUCCUACGGGAGGCAGCAGUGGGGAAUAUUGGACAAUGGGCGAAAGCCUGAUCCAGCAAUGCCGCGUGAGUGAUGAAGGCCUUAGGGUUGUAAAGCUCUUUUACCCGGGAUGAUAAUGACAGUACCGGGAGAAUAAGCUCCGGCUAACUCCGUGCCAGCAGCCGCGGUAAUACGGAGGGAGCUAGCGUUGUUCGGAAUUACUGGGCGUAAAGCGCACGUAGGCGGCUUUGUAAGUCAGAGGUGAAAGCCUGGAGCUCAACUCCAGAACUGCCUUUGAGACUGCAUCGCUUGAAUCCAGGAGAGGUGAGUGGAAUUCCGAGUGUAGAGGUGAAAUUCGUAGAUAUUCGGAAGAACACCAGUGGCGAAGGC